CCCUUAGAGUUUGAUCCUGGCUCAGAGUGAACGCUGGCGGCAGGCCUAACACAUGCAAGUCGAACGGCAGCACAGGGGAGCUUGCUCCCUGGGUGGCGAGUGGCGGACGGGUGAGGAAUACAUCGGAAUCUGCCCAAUCGUGGGGGAUAACGUAGGGAAACUUACGCUAAUACCGCAUACGACCUUCGGGUGAAAGCGUGGGACCGCAAGGCCACGCGCGAUUGGAUGAGCCGAUGUCGGAUUAGCUUGUUGGCGGGGUAAAGGCCCACCAAGGCGACGAUCCGUAGCUGGUCUGAGAGGAUGAUCAGCCACACUGGAACUGAGACACGGUCCAGACUCCUACGGGAGGCAGCAGUGGGGAAUAUUGGACAAUGGGCGCAAGCCUGAUCCAGCCAUGCCGCG
rnacentral:rRNA from 1 species